GCCUCGGCCUCCCGAAGAGUUGGGAUUACAGGCGUGAGCCAGCACUCCUGGCUAAUUUUUCAUAUUUUUAGUAGAGAUGGGGUUUCAACAUGUUGGCCAGGCUGGUCUUGAACUCCUGACCUCAGGUGAUCUGCCCACCUCGGCCUCCUAAAGUGAUGGGAUUACAGAUGUGAGCCACCAUGACUGGCCCUAAAAACUUUUUUUUUUUUUUUUUUUGAGAUGGAGUCUUGCUCUUUCACCCAGGCUGGAGUGCAGUGGUGCGAUCUCGGCUCACUGUAACCUCC
rnacentral:lncRNA from 10 species